ensembl:lncRNA
CUCUGUUCCACUACUCUACUGGUUUCUCUGUUCCACUACUCUACUGGUUUCUCUGUUCCACUACUCUACUGGUUUCUCUGUUCCACUACUCUACUGGUCUGUUGAACAAUAAUUUUCCCUUUGUUGUCUGUUGACUGUCGUUGUUUUGCUCGUGUUUGGUUUCUACCCGCCUCCCCCCCAUCUUUCAGAUGGGACGUUAAACGGGUGUCCUGACUCUCUGAGGUCAUUAAAGAUCCCAUGGUACUUAUCGUCAGAGUUAGGGGUGUUAACCCCGGUGUCCUGACUCUCUGAGGUCAUUAAAGAUCCCAUGGUACUUAUCGUCAGAGUAGGGGGUGUUAACCCCGGUGUCCUGACUCUCUGAGGUCAUUAAAGAUCCCAUGGUACUUAUCGUCAGAGUAGGGGGUGUUAACCCCGGUGUCCUGACUCUCUGAGGUCAUUAAAGAUCCCAUGGUACUUAUCGUCAGAGUAGGGGGUGUUAACCCCGGUGUCCUGACUCUCUGAGGUCAUUAAAGAUCCCAUGGUACUUAUCGUCAGAGUAGGGGGUGUUAACCCCGGUGUCCUGACUCUCUGAGGUCAUUAAAGAUCCCAUGGUACUUAUCGUAAGAGUAGGGGGUGUUAACCCCGGUGUCCUGACUCUCUGAGGUCAUUAAAGAUCCCAUGGUACUUAUCGUAAGAGUAGGGGGUGUUAACCCCGGUGUCCUGACUCUCUGAGGUCAUUAAAGAUCCCAUGGUACUUAUCGUCAGAGUUAGGGGUGUUAACCCCGGUGUCCUGACUCUCUGAGGUCAUUAAAGAUCCCAUGGUACUUAUCGUCAGAGUUAGGGGUGUUAACCCCGGUGUCCUGACUCUCUGAGGUCAUUAAAGAUCCCAUGGCACUUAUCAUAAGAGUAGGGGUGUUAACCCCGGUGUCCUGACUCUCUGAGGUCAUUAAAGAUCCCAUGGCACUUAUCGUAAGAGUAGGGGUGUUAACCCCGGUGUCCUGGCUAAAUUCCCAAUCUGACCCUCAAACCAUCACGGUCACCUAAUAAUCCCCAGUUUACAAUUGGCUCUUUCAUCCCCCUCCUCUCCCCUGUAACUAUUCCCCAGGUUGUUGCUGUAAAUGAGAACGUGUUCUCAGUCAACUUACCUGGUAAAAUAACGGAUAAAUAAAAAAUAAAAAUAAAAAUCUGAAGCCUGUAUUCAUAGUGUGCAUCCCAAAUGGCACCCUAGUCAAUACAGUGCACUACUAUUUAUUUAUUUAUUUAUUUCACCUUUAUUUAACCAGGUAGGCAAGUUGAGAACAAGUUCUCAUUUACAACUGCGACCUGGCCAAGAUAAAGCAAAGCAGUUCGACAGAUACAACGACACAGAGUUACACAUGGAGUAAAACAAACAUACAGUCAAUAAUACAGUAUAAACAAGUCUAUAUACGAUGUGAGCAAAUGAGGUGAGAAGGGAGGUAAAGGCAAAAAAAGGCCAUGGUGGCAAAGUAAAUACAAUAUAGCAAGUAAAACACUGGAAUGGUAGAUUUGCAAUGGAAGAAUGUGCAAAGUAGAAAUAAAAAUAAUGGGGUCCAAAGGAGCAAAAUAAAUAAAUAAAUAAAAAUUAAAUACAGUUGGGAAAGAGGUAGUUGUUUGGGCUAAAUUAUAGGUGGGCUAUGUACAGGUGCAGUAAUCUGUGAGCUGCUCUGACAGUUGGUGCUUAAAGCUAGUGAGGGAGAUAAGUGUUUCCAGUUUCAGAGAUUUUUGUAGUUCGUUCCAGUCAUUGGCAGCAGAGAACUGGAAGGAGAGGCGGCCAAAGAAAGAAUUGGUUUUGGGGGUGACUAGAGAGAUAUACCUG